rnacentral:rRNA from 1 species
AGAGUUUGAUCAUGGCUCAGAUUGAACGCUGGCGGCAGGCUUAACACAUGCAAGUCGAGCGGAGAUGAGGUGCUUGCACCUUAUCUUAGCGGCGGACGGGUGAGUAAUGCUUAGGAAUCUGCCUAUUAGUGGGGGACAACAUUCCGAAAGGAAUGCUAAUACCGCAUACGUCCUACGGGAGAAAGCAGGGGAUCUUCGGACCUUGCGCUAAUAGAUGAGCCUAAGUCGGAUUAGCUAGUUGGUGGGGUAAAGGCCUACCAAGGCGACGAUCUGUAGCGGGUCUGAGAGGAUGAUCCGCCACACUGGGACUGAGACACGGCCCAGACUCCUACGGGAGGCAGCAGUGGGGAAUAUUGGACAAUGGGGGGAACCCUGAUCCAGCCAUGCCGCGUGUGUGAAGAAGGCCUUAUGGUUGUAAAGCACUUUAAGCGAGGAGGAGGCUACUGAGACUAAUACUCUUGGAUAGUGGACGUUACUCGCAGAAUAAGCACCGGCUAACUCUGUGCCAGCAGCCGCGGUAAUACAGAGGGUGCGAGCGUUAAUCGGAUUUACUGGGCGUAAAGCGUGCGUAGGCGGCUUUUUAAGUCGGAUGUGAAUCCCCGAGCUUAGCUUGGGAAUUGCAUUCGAUACUGGGAAGCUAGAGUAUGGGAGAGGAUGGUAGAAUUCCAGGUGUAGCGGUGAAAUGCGUAGAGAUCUGGAGGAAUACCGAUGGCGAAGGCAGCCAUCUGGCCUAAUACUGACGCUGAGGUACGAAAGCAUGGGGAGCAAACAGGAUUAGAUACCCUGGUAGUCCAUGCCGUAAACGAUGUCUACUAGCCGUUGGGGCCUUUGAGGCUUUAGUGGCGCAGCUAACGCGAUAAGUAGACCG